rnacentral:rRNA from 1 species
GACGAACGCUGGCGGCGUGCUUAACACAUGCAAGUCGAACGGAAAGGCCCUGCUUUUGUGGGGUGCUCGAGUGGCGAACGGGCGAGUAACACGUGAGUAACCUGCCCUUGACUUUGGGAUAACUUCAGGAAACUGGGGCUAAUACCGGAUAGGAGCUCCUGCUGCAUGGUGGGGGUUGGAAAGUUUCGGCGGUUGGGGAUGGACUCGCGGCUUAUCAGCUUGUUGGUGGGGUAGUGGCUUACCAAGGCUUUGACGGGUAGCCGGCCUGAGAGGGUGACCGGCCACAUUGGGACUGAGAUAGGGACCAGACUCCUACGGGAGGCAGCAGGGGGGAAUAUUGCACAAUGGGCGGAAGCCUGAUGCAGCAACGCCGCGUGCGGGAUGACGGCCUUCGGGUUGUAAACCGCUUUCGCCUGUGACGAAGCGUGAGUGACGGUAAUGGGUAAAGAAGCACCGGCUAACUACGUG